rnacentral:rRNA from 1 species
GGAAGGAUCAUUCAUAAUAAGUGUUUUAUGGCACUUUUUAAAUCCAUAUCCACCUUGUGUGCAAUGUCUGUCGUUCUCUUUUUUGAGAGCGACCAAACAUCAACUUAUUCUUUAACUCUUUGUCUGAAAAAUAUUAUGAAUAAAAUAAUUCAAAAUACAACUUUCAACAACGGAUCUCUUGGCUCUCGCAUCGAUGAAGAACGCAGCGAAAUGCGAUACGUAAUGUGAAUUGCAGAAUUCAGUGAAUCAUCGAAUCUUUGAACGCAUAUUGCGCUCUUUGGUAUUCCGAAGAGCAUGCUUGUUUGAGUAUCAGUAAACACCUCAAAGACUUCAAUUUGUUUUGAAUGGCUUUGGACUUGAGCAAUCCCAACACCAGUCUUUACGAUCGGUGGAGGGUUGCUUGAAAUGCAGGUGCAGCUGGACAUUCUCCUGAGCUAAAAGCAUAUUUAUUUAGUCCCGUCAAACGGAUUAUUACUUUUGCUGCAGCUAACAUAAAGGGAGUUUGACCGUAUUGGCUGACUGAUGCAGGAUUUCACAAGGGUCGGCAACGAUUCUUGUAAAACUCGAUCUCAAAUCAAGUAAGACUACCCGCUGAACUUAAGCAUAUCAAUAAGCGGAGGAAAAGAAACUAACAAGGAUUCCCCUAGUAACGGCGAGUGAAGCGGGAUGAGCUCAAAUUUAAAAUCUGGCUGGUUUACUAGUCCGAAUUGUAGUUUAUAGAAGCGUUUUCGGUGGCAGCCUGGGUAUAAAUCCUUUGGAAUAGGGUAUCAUAGAGGGUGAGAAUCCCGUCUUUGACUCAGUGCAUGCUACUAUGUGAUACGUUUUCAAAGAGUCGAGUUGUUUGGGAAUGCAGCUCACAAUGGGUGGUAAAUUUCAUCUAA